AUUGAACGCUGGCGGAAUGCUUUACACAUGCAAGUCGAACGGUAGCACGUACUUCGGUCUGGUGGCGAGUGGCGAACGGGUGAGUACUGUAUCGGAACGUGCCCAGUCGUGGGGGAUAACGUAGUGAAAAUUACGCUAAUACCGCAUACGCUCUAUGGAUGAAACAGUGGGAACGCAAGACCUCGCGCGAUAGGAGCGGCCGAUAUCAGAUUAGGUAGUUGGUGGGGUAAAGGCCCACCAAGCCAACGAUCUGUAGCUGGUCGGAGAGGACGACCAGCCACACUGGAACUGAGACACGGUCCAGACUCCUACGGGAGGCAGCAGUGGGGAAUUUUGGACAAUGGGCGAAAGCCUGAUCCAGCCAUUCCGCGUGCAGGAUGGAGGCCCUCGGGUUGUAAACUGCUUUUGUACAGAACGAAAAGGUUUCUACUAAUACUAGGAGCUCAUGACGGUACUGUAAGAAUAAGCACCGGCUAACUACGUGCCAGCAGCCGCGGUAA
rnacentral:rRNA from 1 species